UCCUCCCGAGUGCUUGCACUCAAUUGGAAAGAGGAGUGGCGGACGGGUGAGUAACACGUGGGUAACCUACCCAUCAGAGGGGGAUAACACUUGGAAACAGGUGCUAAUACCGCAUAACAGUUUAUGCCGCAUGGCAUAAGAGUGAAAGGCGCUUUCGGGUGUCGCUGAUGGAUGGACCCGCGGUGCAUUAGCUAGUUGGUGAGGUAACGGCUCACCAAGGCCACGAUGCAUAGCCGACCUGAGAGGGUGAUCGGCCACACUGGGACUGAGACACGGCCCAGACUCCUACGGGAGGCAGCAGUAGGGAAUCUUCGGCAAUGGACGAAAGUCUGACCGAGCAACGCCGCGUGAGUGAAGAAGGUUUUCGGAUCGUAAAACUCUGUUGUUAGAGAAGAACAAGGACGUUAGUAACUGAACGUCCCCUGACGGUAUCUAACCAGAAAGCCACGGCUAACUACGUGCCAGCAGCCGCGGUAAUACGUAGGUGGCAAGCGUUGUCCGGAUUUAUUGGGCGUAAAGCGAGCGCAGGCGGUUUCUUAAGUCUGAUGUGAAAGCCCCCGGCUCAACCGGGGAGGGUCAUUGGAAACUGGGAGACUUGAGUGCAGAAGAGGAGAGUGGAAUUCCAUGUGUAGCGGUGAAAUGCGUAGAUAUAUGGAGGAACACCAGUGGCGAAGGCGGCUCUCUGGUCUGUAA
rnacentral:rRNA from 1 species